GCUGCCCCAAAGGAUUGUUGUAUUUUGAAGGGGACUGGAAGCAGGAACCACCAUGACUGGUGUGAUUGUACCAGGUCCUUUAAGAAAUAAAUAACUCAAGAGCAGGGAUGCUGGGCCAGGGCUGUGGGCCUUGUCUCUGAUGAUGCACAACUCAGUUAACACUAUUUCGUCCAUCUCUGUGUCUAGUCCUUCAGUCAGUCACAUGUAUAUGUCUUGGACAGACCUCCGAGAUAUGGCUCAUCCCAGCUGAAGUGACUGGUCAUCGGGAUGUUUCAGUUCCACAUAGUAACAUUUGAGAUGUUGCCAUUGGCCCUUCCAGCAGCCAAUGUCUUUAAGACCCUCCCUCUUUUCAUCUUUUCACUGUUAUCCCUGUGUCAGCUUCAUCCAAGGCCCGUUCUCCUCUUGGUCAGAGGACAGCAGCGGGCAGCCGCAGGACCUGCAUCCCGUCGAGAGGUCCGCUUUCCGAGGCACUCUCCUAAGAAGGAAGAAGUCUUUUCCUCGUAAGUCCCCCAGGAAGCCUUUCCUUGGAUCUCACUGGCCAGAAGGGAACGGGCCUCCAUCGUGGUUUGGAUUAAUCAGGCCCAAACCUCUUCCUUGAGUCAUUCGUGAGUGGGGUUGAGGAAGAUUUGAGAGCUGAACAAAUUCGGGCUUCUGUGAGGAUGGAGGAAAAUGGUUGCCUGGGAGGAAGCCAAAAGUGUCCACUGUUCAGUGUCCCGCUGGCCUAGCCUUAGGCCUGUUUGAACCUGCAGAUGAACUUAUUAAUUAACCUUUGACUCUGGAGAGGCAGCGGCUUGUUUUCAGACUCAGGUGCGAGGCGUGAGGGUCAGUUCUCGACUGCCCAGGCCGACGGCGAGGAAGCGAUGGCAAGGCCUCCGUGCAUGCUGUCCUCAAGAGGAUUCUCCUCCUCUCCUCACCUGGCCAAGCCCACCUCAUUCUUCGGGUCUCAGCCUUCCAGGCCACCUGCAUUUUUUUGGUUUGGGGCCCCUUCCUCCAUCUUCAAAGACAGCAAUGGAGCAUCUUCCAAUCUUGCUGAUGCUGACACACAAUCUGCU
rnacentral:lncRNA from 1 species